rnacentral:rRNA from 1 species
GCAGGCUGCAACUCGCCUGCAUGAAGUUGGAAUUGCUAGUAAUCGCGGAUCAGCAAGCCGCGGUGAAUACGUUCCCGGGCCUUGUACACACCGCCCGUCACACCAUGAGAGUCGGGAACACCCGAAGUCCGUAGUCUAACCGCAAGGGGGGCGCGGCCGAAGGUGGGUCCGGUAAUUGGGGUGAAGUCGUAACAAGGUAAC